CAAAAAACAUAUCCAGUGCCAUACCUGAUUAAUAUUUAAUCUUAUUCUUUCGUGCAAAAAUCAUUCCCCCUGAUGAAGUGUGUGAAAGAGUUUUCAUGAUAAUUAAAUUAUCAAAAUUAAACGUUCCAGAUUUCUGGCAAAUGAAGACAGCGGAGAGGAAAUAAUACAUGGCUAGUGGAAACUAUUCAUGGUUAGUAGAAGCAGGGAGAAGCUGGUAAAGGAGAGAACAAAG